GGGGUUGUGGCUCAAUGGUAGAGUGCUCACCUAGCACAUGUGUGACACUGGGUUUGAUUCUCAGCACCACA
rnacentral:tRNA from 1 species